UGUCUAUCGUUGUCUCUGAUUGAGAAUCAUACUUAGGCUGCCCUAAGUUCACAUUAGUAAAAAUGUGAUCGAUAAAUGUGGAUGAUCUUGUUCCUGUCGAGUUUGUAAGCACCCUAGUAGGUUGAUUAAUAACCUGAACCAGAUUACAGGCACUGGUUACAGUAAGAAGCUUCCUCUUGAGCAGACAGCUUGAUGAAAACCAGUCAAUAUUCAGGUCCUGAACCCUCUCUGUUUACAUCACAUACACGAUCAAGCAUUUCACACAUAUUAUUUAGAUACUGACUGUUAGCACUUGGUGGCCAGUAGCAACACCCCAAAAGAAAAGGCUUUAGACGUGCCAAGUGAACCUGCAACCACAACACUUCAAUAACACUUGACAUAACAUCUUCUCUAAGCAUUACAGGGAUAUGGCUCUGAAUAUAUACAGCAACACCUCCCACUUAAGCAUUUCUUUCUCUUCUAUAGAUGUUAUAUCCUUGUAAGUAAGAGUAGAAUUUGAUCGUCAAUUAAACUGAAGAAAGAAUGCAGAGGUUUUCUCUCUGAUGUAAACAUUCUUGGUUCUAUGUUCUUUAGCACAGUCUAGUGGACACUGUAAAUACGAGUGAAAACUACACUGAUUUGAUAGCCUUCCAACAUAUAAUUUCUGCUGUACAUCACAGAAGAAACACUUAGUUACAGUAUUUCAUAAACACAGAUCAAAUAAAUAUUGUUUAUAACUAUAAUCUUUAAAAUCCCCCCAAAAUAAAUAGAAUCCGAUACACAUGUAUUUGAUACUGUACCAAAGGCUGAAGGUAUUUGUAUGUGCAGUAAUAUGCACAUAACAUCACACUACCAAACACAAAGCUGAACGUUCUCAUGUGUAUGAACUAAGGAACACAACACCUGGUGGUCUAGGAGGCCUACAUUAUUACCUACAUUUAAACUUGACUGUGAAAUGUCUUAUAAAAGAACUGGAGGACCAGAGAGAGUGUUAGGGGUUAAGGGUUAAGGUUAGGCUGGAGGACGAGAGCGGGUCAGGGGUUAAGGUUAGGCUGGAAGACGAGAGAGGGUAAGGGGUUAAGGGUUAAGGUUAGGCUGGAAGACGAGAGAAGGUUAGGGGUUAAGGUUAGGCUGGAGGACGGGAGAGGGUUAGGGGUUAAGGUUAGGCUCGAGGACGAGAAAGGGUUAGGGGUUAAGAUUAGGCUGGAGGACGGGAGAGGGUUAAGGGUUAAGGUUAGGGAUAAGGGAUAAUGUUAGGCUGGAGGACGAGAAAGGGUUAGGGGUUAAGGUUAGGCUGGAGGACGAGAGAGGAUAAGGGGU
rnacentral:lncRNA from 13 species